rnacentral:lncRNA from 1 species
GAGAACACUAAAUAUUCAAAGAACAGAGAACGAAUCACAACCGUUGAUCUUAUCUAAUCUAACGGUCAACAUUUAUUCACACCAUGUUCAACGAAUUUUUAUGUUGAACAUGUAGGGGACGAAACCCCAGAACUCCAAAAAAUUCAGUAUAUUUUGAUGAACGUUCAACGAAAUGAUUGAUAUCUUCAAUAUAAUUUGAUGAGCAUGAGCGUGUUCGUGUUCUCCAUUAAACGCUACUGCUACCGAACCAAUUGUAACAAGUUCGACUUCAAAAGUGGAUAAUGCAAAUCGGACUCCACCAACUAGGCAACUAGGUCACUCCACAGGGACAUAUAUAGCUAUGUAAAUGAUCCGAAAGUUGCUUCUGAAAGUUACAUACAACAAGAGCAUAAUAAUCUACGCGCGUUAACGUUCAUGCUUCGUAAUACAAAUCAGAUUCAUACUGCCAACUUCUGAUGAUCCAUUCACUAUCUCUAUCGUGAUACUUAAUAGAAAAUGUCCUCUAAAUAGUCUAAAUUAAUUUACACAAAAGGGAACUUUGAUGAGGGCCAGAGAGAGUGACGGAUUCGGAAUUUGUCAUUAGGAAGGCAAAAUUUAUUGAAGUACGGCGUCUAAAAAUAUCUACACGGAAGUUUGGGAGCGAGAGCCUUGAGCCAAAAAAAAUUUAGUAUUCUAUAAAGUUUAUUAUUAUAUCCAAAAAGAAUCUUAAUGAGUUUAGAAUUAGAAUAAGUCACUUAAUAUAAUAAAUAGUCGUUCGCAAUUCCAUUAAUUUAAUUGUAAGUACAUUAAAAGCAUAUCAAGACCCACUCGUUUUUUUUUUUUGAAAAAAUUAUUUCAUCUUCUAAAAGAAAUAAACUAAUUUCAUUAUCAAUAAUUCAUAAUUUUACUUCAACUCAAUGAUCGACUCAAAUUCAACAUAAGAAAUCAACUAAGAAAGGAAAAUGAACAAAAAUAACACAAAUUUAAAUCACUGUAAAAUGUUAAGCAAUUAACGUGGAUAUUAUAAUUAUUAAAACACUAUAUUAUAUUUUUCUUGUAUAUAUAUGUAUAUAGUAAAGAAAAAACAAAAAACAAAAAACAAAAAACAAAAUUGGGUGUACCGAUGUUGCUCCCAUGUACAUCCGCCCCUGGCCAGAGGUGUCGGUAACUCACCUCUGGUAUCAGCAGCGCACGUUUCCAUUUCUCGACUAGGAGGAUUUGACUGCAGCAGUAGGCUUCAGCUUCUUUGGCGGAGGAUUGCCUCCGGAUAUC